rnacentral:rRNA from 1 species
AUGGGGGGACCAUCCUCCAAGGCUAAAUACUCCUGACUGACCGAUAGUGAACCAGUACCGUGAGGGAAAGGCGAAAAGAACCCCGGCGAGGGGAGUGAAAAAGAACCUGAAACCGUGUACGUACAAGCAGUGGGAGCACCCUUUGGGGUGUGACUGCGUACCUUUUGUAUAAUGGGUCAGCGACUUAUAUUCUGUAGCAAGGUUAACCGAAUAGGGGAGCCGGAGGGAAACCGAGUCUUAAUUGGGCGUUAAGUUGCAGGGUAUAGACCCGAAACCCGGUGAUCUAGCCAUGGGCAGGUUGAAGGUUGGGUAACACUAACUGGAGGACCGAACCGACUAAUGUUGAAAAAUUAGCGGAUGACCUGUGGCUGGGGGUGAAAGGCCAAUCAAACCGGGAGAUAGCUGGUUCUCCCCGAAAGCUAUUUAGGUAGCGCCUCGUGAAUUCAUCUCCGGGGGUAGAGCACUGUUUCGGCUAGGGGGCCAUCCCGGCUUACCAACCCGAUGCAAACUGCGAAUACCGGAGAAUGUUAUCACGGGAGACACACGGCGGGUGCUAACGUCCGUCGUGAAGAGGGAAACAACCCAGACCGCCAGCUAAGGUCCCAAAGUCAUGGUUAAGUGGGAAACGAUGUGGGAAGGCCCAGACAGCCAGGAUGUUGGCUUAGAAGCAGCCAUCAUUUAAAGAAAGCGUAAUAGCUCACUGGUCGAGUCGGCCUGCGCGGAAGAUGUAACGGGGCUAAACCAU